ACGCACGCCGCCCUACCACAACGCGCGGGGCGACACGCCCGCACAGGAUUGACCCGGACGGAGAGAGAGGGACAGAAAAAAAAGGGCGCCGCACGCAGCACGCAGGCGCCAUGCCCCCUCAGUUGCGCUUCCCCACCGUCCUCCCCAACCUAUACCCCCACCUCCUCCUCCCCCGCUCCCUCCCCUCUCGCCGUCUCCGCCUGCCGCCGCCCCCGACCCCGCGCCACCCGCUCCGCCGCCUGCUCUUCCGAGGCAUGGCCUCCUCCGCCACCGGCGAGGCCGCGCCGGCCGCCGGGACAAGCGGCGCCGGAGAGGCCUCCGCCCGCCCGCGGCGCGCGCUUGAGGAGCUCGCGUGGGACGAGACCUUCGUCCGCGAGCUGCCCGGCGACCCGCGAUCCGACAACAUCCCCCGCCAGGUGCUGCACGCUUGUUACACCAAGGUGUCUCCGUCGGCGCCCGUGGAGAACCCUAAGCUCGUGGCGUGGUCCGAAUCCGUAGCUGACCUCCUCGAUCUGGAUCACAAAGAGUUUGAAAGGCCUGAUUUUCCUCGGUUCUUCUCAGGAGAAACUCCGUUGGUGGGAAGUGUGCCCUAUGCCCAGUGUUAUGGUGGACACCAGUUUGGUUCAUGGGCUGGUCAGUUGGGGGAUGGACGAGCAAUAACUCUCGGAGAGGUUCUCAAUUCUCGAGGUGAGAGGUGGGAGUUGCAGCUCAAGGGUGCUGGAAAGACUCCUUACAGCCGAUUUGCAGAUGGCCUCGCUGUCCUGCGCAGCAGCGUCCGUGAAUUCUUAUGCAGUGAAGCUAUGCAUGGUCUAGGCAUUCCUACAACUCGUGCUCUUUGUCUAGUUGAAACUGGCAAAUCUGUUGUGCGAGAUAUGUUCUAUGAUGGUAAUGCAAAAGAGGAGCCAGGUGCAAUUGUUUGCCGUGUAGCACCAUCGUUUUUACGUUUUGGUUCAUACCAGUUACAUGCUACAAGGGGCAAAGAAGACCUUGAAAUUGUUCGUCGUUUGGCAGACUACACAAUACGUCAUCACUACCCACAUCUUGAAAAUAUUAAAAAGAGUGAAGGUUUAUCUUUUGAGGCAGCUAUAGGAGACUCUCCAGCAAUAGAUCUUACUUCCAACAAAUAUGCUGCCUGGGCAGUUGAGGUUGCAGAGCGUACUGCUUACUUGAUAGCCAGGUGGCAAGGUGUUGGUUUCACCCAUGGUGUGCUUAACACUGAUAAUAUGAGUGUGUUGGGCCUAACUAUUGAUUAUGGACCCUUUGGUUUCUUAGAUGCUUUUGAUCCUAGCUUUACUCCGAAUACAACUGAUCUCCCAGGUAAGAGGUACUGUUUUGCAAAUCAACCUGAUGUUGGUUUGUGGAAUAUUGCCCAGUUCACUGGGCCAUUGUCGGCUGCGUAUCUUAUCAGCAAGGAUGAAGCAAAUUAUGUAAUGGAGAGGUAUGGGACAAAGUUCAUGGAUGAAUAUCAAUCUAUAAUGACAAAGAAACUUGGUCUGUCAAAAUAUAACAAGCAGCUUAUUAGCAAGCUGCUGAACAACUUGGCUGUUGAUAAAGUUGACUAUACAAAUUUUUUCCGUCUUCUUUCGAAUGUCAAAGCAGAUCGUGACAUCCCAGAAACUGAGCUACUUGUUCCAAUAAAAGCUGCACUCCUGGAUAUUGGGAAAGAAAGAAAGGAAGCAUGGAUUAGUUGGGUACAAACAUAUAUCGAGGAGCUGGUGGCUAGUGGUGUCUCCGAUGAAGAAAGGAAAGCCACAAUGAACCGUGUCAACCCAAAGUAUGUUCUUCGGAACUAUCUCUGCCAGACAGCGAUUGACGCAGCUGAUCUAGGUGAUUACGAGGAAGUUCGCCGGCUAUUGAAAGUUAUGGAACAUCCAUAUGAUGAGCAGCCGGGAAUGGAGAAAUACGCCCGCUUGCCACCGGCCUGGGCAUACAGGCCUGGGGUGUGCAUGCUAUCCUGCUCGUCAUGAGCCACAUCCAGCUAUGACCAAUAUACAGUGUUGUAUACUUUUUUGGUUGUAUAGGAGGUUUACCCUGUAAUAUGUAGUGUUCCGAGCGCCGCAUUGUUUUAUUACUGUGGCGCGAUGUCCGAAACUUAGUCAUGUUGUUUGUUGCCUUGACUUUGAGUAGCAGAAUGUUCAGCCGUUCAGGAGCAGUUGGGAAAUGAAGCGCUCCAUACCUAAAGUUUCUGAGACGGUAAUGUUAUCAGUGGAAAACCCUUGUGUUGGAUACUAUGGGCUGUUGAUCUGGGUGCAUCCGGAAACAUGGGAGGUUGUAUGUUGACGUUGUUUAUCGCUGUUACAAUGUGCGUAAUUCUACUGUUGAGCCGCUUUCUUGCAUGCUUUAAAGAGCCACGGAGGAUCGUACCGCAAACAGGUGGAUCUACACCGGAUGGUUAGCAUACAUGAAUAUCUGUAUUAGCCUCCUUUCUAGUCACUAUUGCAAUGGAAUGAUACGCCAUCCGAAACAGAUAAAUUGCAUCUGCGCUGAACAAUGGACAAACUCUUCUACAAGAUGAGACACUGCAUCACUAAUUAUUUGCUAAGUAUCUUUGUUUUCCGCCAGAGUAAUAGCCAACGUGUAGGCGACUAUCAGACAUGUAGCCAACAUGUGGGAGACAUAUGAUGUCCUUGUCCCAAUUUUUCUUAGUUUGCAAGUAACCAUGUUUGUCAUCAUUUACUUUAAGACCGCGUCAUUCUUGACAAGAAUCUAUAUCCAGUUAUGCAAGGUUGGAGAAAAUCAUUUAAUUUUAGACUCCAACAAAGAAUGCCAUCUGAUCUUGUAGUAAGCUUUUUGAAAAUCAGUUUUCUUAUUGGAUGA
rnacentral:rRNA from 1 species